rnacentral:rRNA from 1 species
GUGCUGCAGCUAACGCAUUAAGCAUUCCGCUGGGAGUACGGCCGCAAGGCUGAAACUCAAAGGAAUUGACGGGGGCCCGCACAGCGGUGGAGCAUGUGGUUUAAUUCGAGCUACGCGAAGAACCUUACCAGGUCUUGACAUACUAUGCAAAUCUAAGAGAUUAGACGUUCCCUUCGGGGACAUGGAUACAGGUGGUGCAUGGUUGUCGUCAGCUCGUGUCGUGAGAUGUUGGGUUAAGUCCCGCAACGAGCGCAACCCUUACUAUCAGUUGCCAGCAUUAAGUUGGGCACUCUGGUGAGACUGCCGGUGACAAACCGGAGGAAGGUGGGGAUGACGUCAAAUCAUCAUGCCCCUUAUGACCUGGGCUACACACGUGCUACAAUGGAUGGUACAACGAGUUGCGAACUCGCGAGAGUAAGCUAAUCUCUUAAAGCCAUUCUCAGUUCGGAUUGUAGGCUGCAACUCGCCUACAUGAAGUCGGAAUCGCUAGUAAUCGCGGAUCAGCAUGCCGCGGUGAAUACGUUCCCGGGCCUUGUACACACCGCCCGUCACACCAUGAGAGUUUGUAACACCCAAAGUCGGUGGGGUAACCUUUAGGAACCAGCCGCCUAAGGUGGGACAGAUGAUUAGGGUGAAGUCGUAACAAGGUAACCA